AUUAAUUCUGUCUUUUAUUUUGAAAUUAGUUAAAUUUUUAUAGUAUUAAAUAUAAGUUUUUGCGUGAAGUUUUUUUUAUCUAAAAGAUAAAUUUAUUUAUUUAUUUGUAGUUUUUAAUUUUUUGUAUUACAUAGUUGUAGAUCUUAGUUAUUGGUGUUAAAGAAUUGUUUAAGGCUGUGCCAGCAAACGCGGUUAUACAGUUUAUUCAAGUUAAUUUUUUUGGUUAUGUAUUUAUUUAUAUUUUUUGGGAUUAAUUUAUUUUUAUUAGGUGAAAUUCUAAUUUUGAAUAUUUUCUCUUGGUUAAAGAUUAUAUGAAGUUUAGGAAUUAAACUAGGAUUAGAUACCCUAUUAUUCUAAAUGUAAAUUUUGGCCUUAUUAUUAAUAGUUAUGAUCUUUAAAUUAAAAGGAUUUGGCGGUAAUUUAGUCUUUUCAGAGGAACCUGUUCUGUAAUCGAUGAUCCACGUUGGAUUUCACUUUAAUUUUUGUUUAUAUAUCUCUGUCAUUGAAUGUUUUAUUAGAAUAUUUUCUUUAAUUAUUAAUUUAUUUAAUGUCAGGUCAAGGUGUAGCUAUAUUAAAGGUUGAAAUGGGUUACAUUUAAUGCUUAUUUAUUGGAUUAUUAAUUUUGUAAUUAUAUUUAUGAAAUGGGAUUUGAAAGUAAUUUUUAUUAUUUUGUAAUGAUGAUUUUGGCUCUAAAUUAUGUACACAUCGCCCGUCACUCUCAUUUUAAGAUGAGAUAAGUCGUAACAAAGUAAUUCUAUUGGAAAAUGGAGUUGGAAUUAU
rnacentral:ncRNA from 1 species